AGGCGACUCUCUGGUCUGUAACUGACGCUGAGGAGCGAAAGCGUGGGGAGCGAACAGGAUUAGAUUACCCUGGUAGUCCACGCCGUAAACGAUGAGUGCUAAGUGUUAGGGGGUUUCCGCCCCUUAGUGCUGCAGCUAACGCAUUAAGCAACUCCGCCUGGGGAGUACGGUCGCAAGACUGAAACUCAAAGGAAUUGACGGGGGCCCGCACAAGCGGUGGAGCAUGUGGUUUAAUUCCGAAGCAACGCGAAGAACCUUACCAGGUCUUGACAUCCUCUGACAAUCCUAGAGAUAGGACGUCCCCUUCGGGGGCAGAGUGACAGGGUGGUGCAUGGUUGUCGUCAGCUCGUGUCGUGAGAUGUUGGGUUAAGUCCCGCAACGAGCGCAACCCUUGAUCUUAGUUGCCAGCAUUUCAGUUGGGCACUCUAAGGUGACUGCCGGUGACAAACCGGAGGAAGGUGGUGAUGACGUCAAAUCAUCAUGCCCCUUAUGACCUGGGCCUACACACGUGCUACAAUGGGCAGAACAAAGGGCAGCGAAACCGCGAGGUUAAGCCAAUCCCACAAAUCUGUUCUCAGUUCGGAUCGCCAGUCUGCAACUCGACUGCGUGAAGCUGGAAUAGCUAGUAAUCGCGGAUCAGCAUGCCGCGGUGAAUACGUUCCCGGGCCUUGUACACAACCGCCCGUCACACCACGAGAGUUUGUAACACCCGAAGUCGGUGAGGUAAC
rnacentral:rRNA from 1 species